CGUUUCGCCGCGACCACACGACCGCGGUCGUUAUGUGGAACGACUAAAGGAGCAUUUUGAUCGUUGUGAGCGCUUAGUGGAACGCACCCGUGUUUGAUAGGAGAAACCGGAAGCAUUCAUGCGGUACCGAAAUCUAUAUUAUUACUAUUGGUGUAUUCAUUGAAUUAAAAGUUUUUCUCUAUUAAAUA
rnacentral:lncRNA from 1 species